CUCCCCGCCAUGCCCAGAGCCUGCUGCUUCUCUCCUCCCACCCCCAGAGUUUCAACUCGAUGCCAGUUGUGCACAAAGGAAGAGUACGAGAAGCAUACUGCCUUCAUGCCCAGGCACAACCUGGCAGUGGAGGGAAGGAAAGGAGACUUUUCAGUGCCUGGACUCAUCCCAGUUUCAGUAUGUUUUGUUUGAUGGACCUAGGAAGCCACCUAAAAGCUGCCUGGGGGUGUUUCCCACUGACCACAGCUGAAGCAAUGAAAAGAAAUAUGAGAGUUUUGGUGGUGACUGAAUUCACCUGCAAAGUGCAUCUCUCCCAGCACUGACACAGCCCAGUCCUAGCUCAACUUCGCUGUGGAGGCAGGAGCAUGGCCGGACAGCGCUUCCCCCAGCAGGGUGGUUCAGAGACUAACAUCCCCUCCCAGCCAUGCCCAGAGCCUGCUGCUUCUCUCCUCCCACCCCCAGGGUCUCAACUCAAUGCCAGUUGUGCACGAAGGAAGAGUACAAGAAGCAUACUGCCUUCAUGCCCAGGCACAAACUGACAGCUGAGGGCAUUGACGUGACCAAGUUGGCCAGAAAAGAGUCUUUCUGGUGGGCCCUGUGCCUCAAUUCACUGAUUGUUUCUUCUUCAUGAGACAUUGACACGGGUUCAGCCCAACCCAGUUUCAGUAUGUUUUGUUUGAUGGACCUGAGAGGCCACUUCAAAGCUGCCUGUGGGUGUUUCCCACUUACCACAACUGAAGCAAUGAGAAGAAGUCAUGAGACUUUUGGUGGUGACUGAAUUCACCUACAAAGUGCAUCUCUCCCAGCAAUGACACAGCCCAGUCCUAGCUGCCGACAGGCCGACGUGAGGCCGAAAUAGAGCUCAACUCAGCUGUGGAGGCAGGGAGGUUUGAAGGCAGCAGCACCUCCUGGCUAGGGAAAUCCAUCAUCUCAACCAUGCCCGGAUUUGAUACUUUCCUCCCUCUCCUCCUCUUCAUCUUCCCUGGGGCUUCCUCCCAUUGUCAAACAUACACGGGCAAUGAAUGCAAGAAGCACACGGCCUUUGUGCCUGGUCACAGCCUCGUUGGCGAGGGCAUCGACGUGACCACGAUGGAAAGGAAGGGAGCCUACCUGGUGGACAGCAGCACCUGGCAGCAACCAGACGGCACUUGCACCCUGUGCCGGAACCAGCUGCAGGGCGGGCAGUUGC